AAGGUUGUUCCAACAAGUCCGAUACAGUCAUGAUAUAACAAUAUUAUUACAAGGUUGUGUCGCCAAACUUGUAACAUUCUUGUUAUAUCACAAGUGUAUCAGACUUGUCAGAACAACCUU